rnacentral:tRNA from 1 species
AACGGCGUGGUGUAAUGGCAACAUAUCGCGCGAUCAGUUAUGACUGAGAUGCGGGUUCAAGUCCCGCCGCCGUUU